rnacentral:lncRNA from 1 species
ACAGCCCACGUGGCCCCGGGCUGGACUUCCAGGGGCUUUGUUCCCUUCUCAGCUGAGGUUUAUUUGUUUACUUUUGAAACACGAAGGGAGGCCAGAGCUGGGAAACUUUGAGCUUUUGCAUGCUUCUCCACUCGGUCUCCUCACUGGAAAGGGCUGGCAGUGAUCAGAAUGGUGCAUGCCCCCUGCUCCUCACCGCCACCCAUGCUCCAAAGCCACGAUGUGAGUCUUGCAGAGCUGCAGACAGCCCCUAAAGGGGUGUGCUCCCAAUUUGAGCUCAUCUGACCCAGUUAAGGAGCCAGAAUGGGAGAAGCAUCCGCCAGUCAUGAGCUCUGGCUGGGGGCCCCUGCCCUCCCCCUCGCGCCCAGUCCUGAUGCCCUUCUGGGCGGUUUCAAGCAGCAGCUGCAAAAUGUCAGUGCAAGAGGCAGAAGAACCAGGGCGAGCGUGCAGGCUCCGGGUGAUAGAAGCAGAAGGAAAGUUUAGAAGCGCACGGAGCAAGGGGCCACGCGGUGUCGAAGGCAGCGAGGACAGCCCAGGCUCCCAGAGACCGCAGAGGCCGUCACCGAAGACGUUGAAGCCCCCCCGCGCCGCCGCCGGCUCCCCGGGCCCGGCCACCACGAGCUGGUCGCCGCGCAGCUGGAAGGCACCGGGCUGCAGGCGCAGCAGCUGAGCCAACGGCAGCAGGGCCAGCUCGCAGUCGCAGGUCCACAGGCUGCGAAGCUCCCCAGACGAGAUGGAGGUCAGGCUCGGCCUGGCCACCGGCUCGCAGGCCGCCCCCGCCAUGCCCGCGUCGUCGGUCCUCACACCGCCUGCUUCCGUCCGGUGCCUACAGCCCCCAGCCGGCACCUGAUGGUCCCCAGGAGGGGCCGGGCGCCCUGCCUGCGUCAGACGCGCGCAAGGUGAGGAGGGGGUCGGUCUGCCUGCCUGGCCGGGACGCGGUGGCCGCUCAGGUGCCAGUCUGACCGCCCGGGCGGCCCCUCCCAAGCUGCCACUCCCUGGGAGCCCUGCAGGCACCGCGCGGAGAAAGCGGCCCCGGCGCAGCGCGGCCCCUUUUAUCCGCCCUCCGGACGCCCGCCUCGCCCCUGCCGGCCCACGGCCACGACCCCAGAGGCUCGGGGCAGAGUUAUCAUCGUCUCAUAACUUGGCAUGCUCGAGUUUGCUCGCAGCCAAGGCUUAGUCAUCCCCCUGGGGUCCGCUACUCAACACCAGCGCUGGCCCCCGCCCUGCCUGGCGGACACUGCCGAUCCCACGAGGGUUUCAUCGCUUUGCUUCUUUCUACUGCACGGUGAACCCUAGACUGCAAUGUGCAGUGUAGUGUAAGCCCAUUAUUCUUUUUACUAUUACAGCUCUAUUAUUUGAUUUAUUUAUUUGUUCAACAAAUUUUUUAUUACAUUGAAUUGGCAAACACCAUAAAAGAUGCUGAGAAUACAACUUUAAAAAUGAAUACAUUCUUCCUGUCCUCAUAUAACUUUCUUCUUCUACUUAACCAUCUGUUUAACCUAGGGCAAUGCUUUCACAGUCCCUUUCUUCAUAUAAAACAAGAGGAGUAACAGCUUUUCUAAAUACCUCUAUGGAGAUGUUGUGACAAUGAAGUAAGAUAAUACAAUUUCUAAACUGUGAAGUUGUAUACUAAUAGGUCAUCUACAAAGUAUACAAGUUAGAAUGCAA